rnacentral:snRNA from 1 species
ACACGGACCAAGGAGUCUGACAU